GCCUUCGUAGCUCAGCGGAAGAGCACCGGGCUUCGACCCCGGGCGCAGAGGUUCGACUCCUCUCGAAGGCU
rnacentral:tRNA from 1 species